GUGGGGAAUAUUGGACAAUGGGCGAAAGCCUGAUCCAGCCAUGCCGCGUGUGUGAAGAAGGUCUUCGGAUUGUAAAGCACUUUAAGUUGGGAGGAAGGGCAGUAAGUUAAUACCUUGCUGUUUUGACGUUACCGACAGAAUAAGCACCGGCUAACUUCGUGCCAGCAGCCGCGGUAAUACGAAGGGUGCAAGCGUUAAUCGGAAUUACUGGGCGUAAAGCGCGCGUAGGGGGUUCGUUAAGUUGGAUGUGAAAGCCCCGGGCUCAACCUGGGAACUGCAUCCAAAACUGGCGAGCUAGAGUACGGUAGAGGGUGGUGGAAUUUCCUGUGUAGCGGUGAAAUGCGUAGAUAUAGGAAGGAACACCAGUGGCGAAGGCGACCACCUGGACUGAUACUGACACUGAGGUGCGAAAGCGUGGGGAGCAAACAGGAUUAGAAACCCCGGUAGUCC
rnacentral:rRNA from 1 species